CCUACGGGAGGCAGCAGUGAGGAAUAUUGGUCAAUGGACGCAAGUCUGAACCAGCCAUGUCGCGUGCAGGAAGAAGGCCCUAUGAGUUGUAAACUGCUUUUGUACGAGGGUAAACGCAGAUACGCGUAUCUGUCUGAAAGUAUCUUACGAAUAAGGAUCGGCUAACUCCGUGCCAGCAGCCGCGGUAAUACGGAGGAUUCAAGCGUUAUCCGGAUUUAUUGGGUUUAAAGGGUGCGUAGGCGGUCGGAUAAGUUAGUGGUGAAAUCCCGAGGCUCAACUUCGGAAUUGCCGCUGAUACUGUUAGGCUAGAGAGUAGUUGCGGUAGGCGGAAUGUAUGGUGUAGCGGUGAAAUGCUUAGAGAUCAUACAGAACACCGAUUGCGAAGGCAGCUUACCAAGCUACUUCUGACGUUGAGGCUCGAAAGCGUGGGUAGCAAACAGGAUUAGAUACCCGAGUAGUC
rnacentral:rRNA from 1 species